CAUGCAAGUCGAACGGAAAGGCCCUUUCGGGGGUGCUCGAGUGGCGAACGGGUGAGUAACACGUGGGUGAUCUGCCCUGCACUUUGGGAUAAGCCUGGGAAACUGGGUCUAAUACCGAAUACACCCUGCUGGUCGCAUGGCCUGGUGGGGGAAAGCUUUUGCGGUGUGGGAUGGGCCCGCGGCCUAUCAGCUUGUUGGUGGGGUGAUGGCCUACCAAGGCGACGACGGGUAGCCGGCCUGAGAGGGUGUCCGGCCACACUGGGACUGAGAUACGGCCCAGACUCCUACGGGAGGCAGCAGUGGGGAAUAUUGCACAAUGGGCGCAAGCCUGAUGCAGCGACGCCGCGUGAGGGAUGACGGCCUUCGGGUUGUAAACCUCUUUCAGUAUCGACGAAGCGCAAGUGACGGUAGGUACAGAAGAAGCACCGGCCAACUACGUGCCAGCAGCCGCGGUAAUACGUAGGGUGCGAGCGUUGUCCGGAAUUACUGGGCGUAAAGAGCUCGUAGGUGGUUUGUCGCGUUGUUCGUGAAAACUCACAGCUCAACUGUGGGCGUGCGGGCGAUACGGGCAGACUGGAGUACUGCAGGGGAGACUGGAAUUCCUGGUGUAGCGGUGGAAUGCGCAGAUAUCANGAGGAACACCGGUGGCGAANGCGGGUCUCUGGGCAGUAACUGACGCUGA
rnacentral:rRNA from 1 species